rnacentral:rRNA from 1 species
CCUACGGGAGGCAGCAGUGGGGAAUAUUGGACAAUGGGGGGAACCCUGAUCCAGCGACGCCGCGUGAGUGAAGAAGUAUUUCGGUAUGUAAAGCUCUAUCAGCAGGGAAGAAAGAAAUGACGGUACCUGACUACGAAGCCCCGGCUAACUACGUGCCAGCAGCCGCGGUAAUACGUAGGGGGCAAGCGUUAUCCGGAUUUAAUGGGUGUAAAGGGAGCGUAGACGGGGAGGCAAGUCUGAAGUGAAAGGCGGGGGCCCAACCCCCGGACUGCUUUGGAAACUGUAUGGCUGGAGUGCAGGAGAGGUAAGUGGAAGUCCUAGUGUAGCGGUGAAAUGCGUAGAUAUUAGGAGGAACACCAGUGGCGAAGGCGGCUUACUGGACUGUAACUGACGUUGAGGCUCGAAAGCGUGGGGAGCAAACAGGAUUAGAUACCCCAGUAGUC